rnacentral:rRNA from 1 species
GACGAACGCUGGCGGCGUGCUUAACACAUGCAAGUCGAACGCUGAAGACCUGGCUUUUGUUGGGUUGGAUGAGUGGCGAACGGGUGAGUAACACGUGAGUAACCUGCCCUCUUCUUUGGGAUAACGCCCGGAAACGGGUGCUAAUACUGGAUAUUCACUGAUCUUCGCAUGGGGGUUGGUGGAAAGGUUUGUUCUGGUGGGGGAUGGGCUCGCGGCCUAUCAGCUUGUUGGUGGGGUGAUGGCCUACCAAGGCUUUGACGGGUAGCCGGCCUGAGAGGGUGACCGGUCACAUUGGGACUGAGAUACGGCCCAGACUCAUACGGGAGGCAGCAGUGGGGAAUAUUGCACAAUGGGCGAAAGCCUGAUGCAGCGACGCCGCGUGAGGGAUGGAGGCCUUCGGGUUGUAAACCUCUUUCGCUCAUGGUCAAGCCGCAACUGUGGGUUGUGGUGAGGGUAGUGGGUAAAGAAGCGCCGGCUAACUACGUG